GGAUAAUCAACAUCGUGUGUGCUGCUGCUCUUCUUCAAAAGUGACACUGAAUGAAGCAAGGCACAAUCUCCUAAAACCCAAGCCCAUGUCCUUUUGCUUGCAGUGUGUCGAUGGGGGGUGAUGAACCCCAUCUCUGUCCUGCUACUUGUCCUGGAUAUCUGAUUUCCACUCUUUUAUUUUCCUUUUUCCAGGAAUGGAUAAGGAAUCCAAAGCUGAGAUCCCUCUUCAAGUUAAAAUGCCAAAGGAAGUGUGUUCCCUGCCAGGGCGUGUGACCAUGGGCUCCACAGGUUCAGAGAGAAAAACAAACAGCUGGCUCACCACGACAAAUAUCCCACUGUCACCAGCCUCAUCUUCACCAUGGACUUGAUGAAGCCAUGUUAACUUUGAAACACCGUGUCUCCCCUUGCUGUCCCUCCUCACACCCACCCACUUUCCUGUCACAGAAUAAAUAAAAGGUAUUCAGUGUCUGGGAACUCGCAC
rnacentral:lncRNA from 1 species